GACGAACGCUGGCGGCGUGCUUAACACAUGCAAGUCGAACGGAAAGGCCCUGCUUGCAGGGUACUCGAGUGGCGAACGGGUGAGUAACACGUGGGUGAUCUGCCCUGCACUUCGGGAUAAGCCUGGGAAACUGGGUCUAAUACCGGAUAGGAGCCAUUUUUAGUGUGAUGGUUGGAAAGUUUUUUCGGUGUAGGAUGAGCUCGCGGCCUAUCAGCUUGUUGGUGGGGUAAUGGCCUACCAAGGCGGCGACGGGUAGCCGGCCUGAGAGGGUGGACGGCCAAAUUGGGACGGAGAUGCGGCCCAGACUCCUACGGGGGGCAGAAGGGGGGAAUAUUGCAAAAUGGGGGCAAGCCUGAUGCAGCGACGCCGGGGGGGGGAUGACGGCCUUCGGGUUGUAAACUCCUUUCGCUGGGGACGAAGCUUUUUGUGCCGGUACCAAGAAAAGAAGCCCCGGAUAAUUCCGG
rnacentral:rRNA from 1 species